CCUGCCCCUAGAGGGAUUGCAGGUGUGCUGCUAUGUCACAUUUGCAUCAGUAGGUGGCAGAGAGGAGAGAGAUUGUGUCUACAUUCUGUUUUGACCUGUAAACACCUGAAUAAUUAGCAACGUGAAAAA